rnacentral:lncRNA from 10 species
CUGAGUAGCUGGGACUACAGGCGCCCGCCACCUCGCCUGGCUAAUUUUUUAAAUUAGAGACGGGAUUUCACCUUGUUAGCCAGGAUGGUCUCGAUCUCCUGACCUCGUGAUCAGCCCGCCUCGGCCUCCCAAAGGUGCUGGGAUUACAGGCGUGAGCCACUGUGCCCGGCAGAGGUGGGGACUUUAAAUGCCUGCGGGCUUUCUCUGGCAUUCUCCCAGGGAGGAGCCUGUCUACUUCUCCUGCACUCUCACCGAGGGACCAGCUGGACUUGCCUCCCAGAAGACGUCUGUCUGAGCGCAGGAGUGGCAGUUGUGGGGGCGCUGGAAGGACCAAACACCCUGUGCUCUGGCUUACAAAUGGCGACGAGUCCAUCAACCUCCUCUGGGUUAGACUCCUAAUUCGCAGCCCCCACCCACUGCUGAGCUCAGGGCUCUGGACACUGACUGCCUGAUUCAGCCAACAGGAUACAUGGUGCUGGAGCCUGUGCCGAUGAGCCCGUUAGGGGAAAUGGAGGCUCCCAGGCACGAUGAGCUGUCCCAGGCCAUCUCACCAAGACGGGGCCCGAAUGCUCCCGUGAAGCGUGAAGCGCAGUGGGGAAGGCAGCGGGACGCUACACUGACUUCUUCCCUUGCAAAGGCGCAGGAUGAAUCUGCUUGGAGCAAGGCGGGCAGAAGAGGUCUUCCUAAGAAGUCUUCCGCGGGGAGCGGUGGGCCUCUGGGAUGCCCAAGGUCUCUGCCAUCACCCUCUGGUCUCUACGCUUUCAGAGACAGAGUCUUGCUCUGUCUUCCAGGCUGGAGUGCAAUGAUGCGAUCUUGGUUUACGGCAACCAUAAGACACUGGGAAAGGUUGGCGAAUCCUGUUACCCUCAGUGCCCAUUGCAGCCGGGAGAAGGGAAAAGAAAAUUCCUGUCCCAGUGGGCAAGGGGCAAGGGUGAGAAGGCCCCACCCACAACACCCAGAGACACAGUGCCUGCCUAAAACUGAAGAAGUACCAAGACAGCAGAGAACAAUCUCCACACAGUGUACAUGCACACCUUCCAGCCCCAGGCUAGCAAGUAUCAAGUAACAAGUAGUAGUCUGCUGCUGGAGAAGGAUCAAGAGCACAUAGAGAAGCCAGGCAUGGCGGCACAUGCCUGCAGUCCCAGCUACUCGGAAGGUUGAGGCAUGCAGAUCACUUGAGCCCAGGAGUUCAAGACCAGUCUGCGAGACAUAGAGAUGCAGGAUCUCUGAGGUGCAGGAUCAUAGACAAAGUCUGGAGCUGAGGGUGGAAUAAGAUCAUUGAGGAAAAAAACGCACCUGGUUCUACCUUAAACACAAAAGAAUGCUAGAAGAAUUUGAAGCCCACAGUGCACUGAUGGUAAGCCAGUAACAACAGAGGCCAAACCCAGCUCCAUUCUUGUCCCCUACACUUAAGGCCUAGCAAAAGAAAAGGCAUACGCAUUUCCAGUCAUAAAUACCAUUUACCUCAUCUCUACCAUCCUAUGCAAGAUGUCUGUAAACAAAAAAUUAGAAGACAUACAAAGAAGCAAGGUAAAAUAACAGACUGUCAAGAGACAAAGAAAUCAACAAACAAGGCCGGGUGCGGUGGCUCAUGCCUGUAAUCCUAGCAAUUUGGGAGGCAGAGGCGGGUGGUUUGCCUUAGCCCAGGAGUUCAAGACGAGCCUGGGAAACACGGCAAAGCCCCUCUCUACAAAAAAAUACAAAAAUUAGCCAGGCAUGGUGGUGUGCACCUGUGGUCCUAGCUACUUGGCAGGCUAAGGUGGGAGAAUCACCUGAACCCAGGGAGGUCGAAGCUGUAGUGAGCUGUGAUUGUGCCACUGUACUCCAGCCUGGGUGACAGAGCAAGACCCUGUCUCAAAAAAUAAAUAAAUAAAUAAAUAAAAUAAAAAUAAAUAAAUAAAUAAGAAAAGGUAUAAAAUUGUAGAUUAUCUGGCCUUUCUCGAUGUGAGAGUGGAUGUGAUACUCUUUUCAGCUUUCUCCAUCCUAAGAGGAGGCUGGGGAGGAAACUGGGACAGUGUGCAACACGCACGCACAUUCCUUGAAUGCAGU